rnacentral:rRNA from 1 species
AUGGGCACCACAAGAACGCGUGGAGCAUGUGGCUUAAUUUGACUCAACCCGGGAAAUCUUACCAGGUCCAGACAUAUUGAGGAUUGACAGGCGAUAGUAUAUAAAAUAUAUUUUUAUAUGCAUAAAAAUGAUAGUCCUUUAAUGAUUAUAUGAUAGGUGGUGCAUGGCCGUUCUUAGUUCGUGGAGUGAUUUGUCUGCUUAAUUGCGUUUCAGUAAAUAAAAUAUAUAAUAUAUUAUAAUAUUUAGUUCUGCCAUUUAUUUAUGGAUUUAAAGUGAACAUAUUAUAUAUAUUAUUAUAUAAUAAAUGAAUGCAACGAACGUGACCGUAACCUUUUAUUGCUAUUGAAAAUUAUAAUUAUAGCAUAAAAUUAAAGGAACCGCUGUCAUUACUAAAUAUGUGUUAAAAUAGAGUAAGAUUAUGGCAAUAACAGGUCUGUGAUGCCCUCAGAUGUUCUGGGCUGCACACGUGCUACAAUAAUUACAUUAAUAAGUAUAUAUACUUUAUAAUAUAUAAUAUUAUAUUACAACCUAUUUCGAAAGUAAAUCGGUAAUCAUUUAAAAAUCGUGAUUAAUUAAUAUAAAUAUAAUUAAUUUAAGGUGGGGAUAGUGUAUUGUUAAUUAUUACACUUGGCCUUAACUAGGAAUGCCUUGUACUCUUCUUUGGUUUAACAUACCAAGAGGAAUACGUCCCUGCCCUUUGUACACACCGCCCGUCGCUCUUACCGAUGAAUUAUAUUAUAAAUCUAAGGGAUUUAUUAUAAUUAAAAUAUAAAAAACUUAUAUACAUAAUGUGAUUUAAAGGAAAGAGAAGUCGAACAAGGCA